GUGUACCACCUGCGUACACUUCGGUCCUGAGCGUGCCGUCCGCGCCCACCUGUUGGCUGCCGCUACCUGCUAGAGGCU
rnacentral:sRNA from 2 species